GGUUUUUUCAAUGUUAAUUCCUAUUUUUGAAGCGUCAAACAAACAGUAUAUAAGCACUGAUUUUACUGCUGUUUGGCACCUUCUCACUGGAAGGCUGAAGCUAUCGGUCGGUGCUGAAAUGAAAUCUACUCUACAAAUAUUCUACAUAUUCUCCAGAAGGUCUGCAACAAAAUCUGUUCUAUCCUAUUUUUUAAUGAUGUCUUGAUGUCUUCUGUUUUUCACAGAGAUAUUAAAGAUCACCAUGAGGCUGCUGACUGUGUUUGUGUUUCUUUGUGUAAUGAUCCCUCUGAUCAUUACUGCUCAAAAUCGGGCAGCAGUGGGGCAGAGAUAAUCCACAAGAAGAGCAAGCUGUUGACAAGAGGAUCCUGUGGUAUUGGCGCAAACUUAUCGUUGCGUUAAAUGGCGAUGGGUAUGGAGAAAGCGAUGGGGGAAGACGUGAACGAAUAAUAUAUGUACGCUCACCACUGAUACCGAUUUUGUCUGGCUCUGAAAAGAAGAUGAUUCCUGGUCUUCCAUGAAAAUGGUCCAUCAGACAGAGAAGCAAAUACUUUCAUCCAACUCCCUGAACUAUCAGUUUCCCCUUUUACAUCUUUACUUAUUUUCUUUCGCUGUAGUGCUGCAUAAAGAAUGAAGCAACAAGUGACACAAACUGGAGUCGACCGGACUGUCUCUUUUAAUAACAAAAACUAUUCAUUUCUGUUCUUAUUAUCUUCAUCAUUAAACUCUUAAGCAUUAAAUGAAA